CCUACGGGAGGCAGCAGUGGGGAAUCUUGCGCAAUGCGCGAAAGCGUGACGCAGCAACGCCGCGUGAGGGAAGACGGCCUUCGGGUUGUAAACCUCUUUCAGUUGGGACGAAGCCACGGCGGUUAAUACCCGUCUGUGGUGACGGUACCUUCAGAAGAAGCCCCGGCUAACUACGUGCCAGCAGCCGCGGUAAUACGUAGGGGGCAAGCGUUGUCCGGAAUCAUUGGGCGUAAAGCGCGUGUAGGCGGCUUGGUAAGUCCGCUCUGAAAGCCCGGGGCUCAACCCCGGGAGGCGGGUGGAUACUGUCAAGCUCGAGUCCGGAAGAGGCGAGUGGAAUUCCUGGUGUAGCGGUGAAAUGCGCAGAUAUCAGGAGGAACACCAAUGGCGAAGGCAGCUCGCUGGGACGUGACUGACGCUGAGACGCGAAAGCGUGGGGAGCAAACAGGAUUAGAUACCCUGGUAGUCCACGCCGUAAACGAUGGGCACUAGGUGUGGGGAGGUGUCGACUCCUCCGUCGCCGACGCGUACGCAUAGUCGCCCGCCGUCGGGAGGUACGGCCGGCGACGACGUAAACGUACGAAACGGAAGUAGUACGGCGUGAGACGUCGCCGACGGACGACGACGAGGGAGAGG
rnacentral:rRNA from 1 species